GAUACGUUGAUAUCUCUCA
rnacentral:misc_RNA from 1 species